UACGGAGGGGGCUAGCGUUGUUCGGAAUUACUGGGCGUAAAGCGCGCGUAGGCGGCUUUGUAAGUCAGAGGUGAAAGCCUGGAGCUCAACUCCAGAACUGCCUUUGAAACUACAUAGCUAGAAUCAUGGAGAGGUUAGUGGAAUUCCGAGUGUAGAGGUGAAAUUCGUAGAUAUUCGGAAGAACACCAGUGGCGAAGGCGACUAACUGGACAUGUAUUGACGCUGAGGUGCGAAAGCGUGGGGAGCAAACAGG
rnacentral:rRNA from 1 species